rnacentral:rRNA from 1 species
AGCUCUAGCAGCGUAUAUUUAUAUUGCUGCGUUUAAAAAGCUCGUAGUUGAAGCGUCAGACGCGGGAGGGCGGACGGCCGCACUGGUCGCUCUCGCCCGACCGAGCCAGGCGCAGAGGGCGCGCGUCGCUUGCACUUCGCCGUGUGAGCGCGCCGCCGCUGCACGUUCACCUUGAAGAAAUUGAACCGCUUAGAGGGGGCGAGCAGCUUGAACAGCUCAGCAUGGUAUGAUGGAACAUGGGCUCGUACUCAUUUUGUUGGUUAGAGAGUCGGCGAGCCAAUGAUUAACAGGGACUGCCGGGGGCAUUAGUACUCGGACGGGAGAGGUGAAAUUCAAGGAUCGUCCGAAGACUCCCUACUGCGAAAGCAUUUGCCAAGAAUGUUUUCAUUAAUCAAGAACG